CCCUGUGGCUCAGUUGGUAGAGCAUGGUGUUUGCAACGCCAGGGUUGUGGGUUCGAUUCCCACUGGGG
rnacentral:tRNA from 1 species